rnacentral:lncRNA from 1 species
UUGAAUAAAAAGGAAGAAACGAAAUUAAACAUGCACAAUCUGAAAUUUUUCCCACUCAAUAACAGUACACUAUAUAACAAUUAUUAAAAACAAAAAAUAGGUACAAAUUUGCACAAGUUCUGGUGAAUGAAGCAUCCAAUUUGGCCUUGCUGUAAUCUCUCAUCAAAACAAAAACUGAAUGAAGCUCAAGCAAAGAUCUUGUAAAUACAAUAAGAGGAUGAGAUUAAAAUUGAAUGAGCAAGCUUUAUAGAGAGGAGAUGAGUAAGCGAAUUUUGGCAAAUGGAAGAGUAUGAAGGUAGUGAUGACGGUGGCUAUCUGGAUCUUAGAUUUGGUUUUGGGUAGGUGAGGGCAGGUGGGGAAGGGGUCGAGAAGAAAAAGAAUCUUCUUUUUUCUUUUGAAUCUGGAAUGCCGACGACUUUGAGACGGUAGUGCCGACGAUGGCAGGGUCUACCAGCAAUCGGGUGUGUGUGGUUUUGGAUUUAGGUUGAUGGAGUUGGGGAAAAAGGACGUAGGGUGAGGGGCUGUGAUUUUUUAUUUUUGAUUACAUAGGCAAAAUGUGUUCUGACCAAAUUGACCUUGCUUUAUUUGAUCAAAAUUAUAAUUUUUUUCCAUUUAUGUGGUCAACUGACAAUUUUUUGGGUCAAAUAGAAGGAAACCGUUAUUUUGGACUUGUUUAGUCAAUUUUUUAAAGGUUAAAUACCUAUAGUGGCACAAAUGAAAUGUUUGGGUCAAAUCUGCUAAUAAACGAAAUAUUUGGUAUCGUGACUGCAAUUUUCCCUUAUAUUAAUAAUAUUGAAUUUUAAAUUUAUUGUAUAUAUAUAAUUUUGAUUAUUAUUCAUUUUUAUU